rnacentral:rRNA from 1 species
GGGUGAGUAACACGUAGGGAACCUGCCCGUGCACCGGGAAUACGCUCUGGAAACGGAGAACAAAUCCCGAUGUACAGGAAGGAGGCAUCUUCUUUCUGUGAAACAUCCUUUAGGGGAUGGGGCGCGGAUGGACCUGCGGUGCAUUAGUUGGUUGGCGGGGUAAAGGCCCACCAAGACGAUGAUGCAUAGCCGGCCUGAGAGGGCGGACGGCCACAUUGGGACUGAGACACGGCCCAGACUCCUGCGGGAGGCAGCAGUAGGGAAUUUUCGUCAAUGGGCGCAAGCCUGAACGAGCGAUGCCGCGUGAGUGAAGAAGGCCUUCGGGUCGUAAAGCUCUGUUGCGGGGGAAAAAAGGCAGCAUCAGGAAAUGGGUGCUGACUGAUGGUGCCCCGCCAGAAAGUCACGGCUAACUACGUGCCAGCAGCCGCGGUAAUACGUAGGUGGCGAGCGUUAUCCGGAAUGAUUGGGCGUAAAGGGUGCGCAGGCGGUCCUGCAAGUCUGGAGUGAAGCGCAUGAGCUCAACUCAUGCAUGGCUUUGGAAACUGGAGGACUGGAGAGCAGGAGAGGGCGGUGGAACUCCAUGUGUAGCGGUAAAAUGCGUAGAUAUAUGGAAGAACACCAGUGGCGAAGGCGGCCGCCUGGCCUGUUGCUGACGCUGAGGCACGAAAGCGUGGGGAGCAAAUAGGAUUAGAUACCCUAGUAGUCCACGCCGUAAACGAUGAGGACCAAGUGUUGGGG